GCGCCUGUAGCUCAACUGGAUAGAGUAUCAGACUACGAAUCUGAGGGUUGGAUGUUCGAGUCAUCUCAGGCGCGCCA
rnacentral:tRNA from 1 species